GAAGAAAUAUGGAGGGCAGCAUUACAUUUUUAUCAGCAGAGUCUUUGCAAGCCACAGGUAAAGUUUCAUCUGUAAUGAAAAGCUGCCAGAAUACCCAGUAGGACAGGCCAGCAGUUCAGUAACACUGAAGUCCAGCAGGAAAAGGACUUUAUUUUCUCUGUGUCUCCGGGGAGAUGAGACCUGUACUGCAGUCCAGUGAAUAUGUUUGGAUUAUCUGGAGCAAGAAAAUGGGGCUGGGAAAAGGUGUCACUUCAGAGGAGGAAAAGAAACUAAAAAGAUUGGGGAAGAAGAAGAAAAGGGAAGAAUCAGAGGAAACAUGGAAAAAGAGCAUCAGAAAAUCACAGAUGACUGAAAAUGUUAUUCAUGGGAGCUGGUCCUAAAUCAGGAUGUUUCUGCUCUCCUCUGACCUGUGUUAUGUGUCCGACAAAGCAUCAUUCAUGUGUCCUGAUUAGCCAUGGAAUUAGAGCGCUGCUUCUACUUCUGCAGCUAUUGACUGGACCGUUCAGCAACCAGUACGGAAAGAAACCAUCAGCAGUAUAUAUGGAACAACAGACAAAUCCACUGAUGAUGGGAAAUUCCCAGAUGCUGAAUGCGUCUGUGUAGACAUGUACACAAUAAGUAAAACGUUCUCAGUCUUUAGCAAAAUACUCCACCUCUUUGGAGUUACUUAAAUGCUAAAUCUACUACAGCCAAGAGCUGUGCACUGCAUCUGGGUGUGCAAUAUGGAUCAAACUCUCCAGUAAGACCGGCAGUGCUAUUUAUGCUAUGAUCAAGACACUUCUUUCCCUAGUCAAUCCUUGUGAAG